rnacentral:lncRNA from 1 species
UCAACAUUCAGCCAUAAAAUUGAAACAAUUUCUACAAAAGCUUCAUACCACGUCCUUAAAGCUUCAUUUUCUCUAAACUUCAGCAUAUCUACCAAUAUAUAUAUACAAAAGCUUCAUAAAUCUGAAACAAUUUCUAAAGUGCAUAAUCAGCCACGUCCUUAAACUUCAUCUACCACUAUCUAAUAGUUAUCUAAUAGAUUAACUACUAAAAAAAAUUGUUAAAUACAUAAGCGGCCCACUCAUAUUUAACUUCA